rnacentral:lncRNA from 1 species
GCCAAGGGAAUCAUAAACUUAGUGGACCUUGUGUGUAUUCACAGGACAUUUCACCCAAACAUAAAAGAGUAUACCUUCUUCUCAGCACCUCAUGGAACUUUCACGAAGUCAACCACAGAGUGGGUCACAAAGCAAGUCUCAACAGGCACAAGAAAAUUGAAAUAGUACCAUGAAGCCUAUCUGACCACUACCAAAAAUUCACCAUUAAAGCUGAAUAUCAACAAUGACAAAACAAAACAAAAACCCAAAACCAUAAAGCUUACAAACUCAAGGGAAGUUAACUACUCUCUACUGAAUAAAAAUGGGUCAAGGCAGCAAUUAAGAAAGAAAUUAAAACUUUCUAGAAUUCAAUGAAAAUGAAUACACAGCAUAACCAAACUUAUAGGACACCAAGAAAUUGGUCUAAGAGAAAAGUUCAUAGCACUAAGUGAAGAAAUUGAAGAGAUCUAGUACUAGUAACUUAACAGCACAUCUGAAAACUCUACAACAAAAAGAAAUUACACUCCAAAGAAGAGAUGACAUGAAAUAAUCAAAUGCAGAGCUGAAAUCAGUACAGAUAAAAAAAACACAAUACAAAGAAUCAAUGAAAUGAAGAGUUGAUUCUUUAAGAAAGUCAAUAAGAUUGAUAAACACAGCCAAAUUAGCUGAAAGACAGAGAGAAGAUCCAAAUUAAUAAAAUUACAGAUGAAAAGGGAGAAUAUAACAACGGACACCAAGGAAAUCCAGGACAUACUUUACAAACCUGUUCCCCAUCAAAUUGGAUAAUUUUCUUGAUAUAUGCCACCUAUCAAAGUUAAAUCAGGAUCAGAUAAGCAACCAAACAGGCCUAUAGUCUCUAGUGAAAUAGAAGCAGUCUCCCAACAAAAACAAAGCAAACAAAAAGCCCAGUGCCAAACAGAUUCAACACAAAAUUCUACUAGAAGUUUAAAGAGGAAUUAAUGCUAAUACUUCUCAAACUAUUCUGAAAGAUAGAAACAGAAAAAAAAAUUGCCUAAUUUUUAAUGAACACACAUUACCUUGAUAGCUAAAGUACAUAAAGACACAGAUGCAAAAUUUCUCAAUAAAAAACUUGAAAACUGAAUCCAAGAACAUAUCAAAAAGAUCAUCAAACAUGAUCAGGUAGACUGUAUCCCCCAAAUGCUGGGAUAGUUAAACAUAUGUAACUCAAAAUAAUGUAAUCCACCAUAAAAACAGAUCCAAAAGACAAAAACCACAUGAUCAUCUUAGAUGCAGAAAAAGGCCUUUAACAAAAAUCCAACACUACUUCAUGAUAAAGGUCCUGUAGUGACUAGGGAUAGAAGGAACAUACCUCAUCAUAAUAAAGGCAAUUUACAGCAACCCUAUAGCCAACAUCAAAUUAAAUGGAGAGAAACUCAAAGUAAUUCCACUAAAAUCAAGAACAAGACAAGACUGUCCACUUUCUCUGUAUCUAUUCAUAUCUAUUCAUUUUGUGUCUUAGCUAGGCAGUAAGACAACCGAAGGUUAUCACAGGAUACAAAUUGGAAAGGAUGAAGUCAAGGUAUCACUAUUUGAAGAUGAUGUGAUAGUAUACAUAACUGACCCAAAAAAUUCUACCAGGGAACUCUUACAGUUAAUAAACACGUUCAGCAAAGAUGCUGAAUACAAGCUUUU